rnacentral:rRNA from 1 species
UACGUAGGGACCGAGCGUUGUCCGGAAUCAUUGGGCGUAAAGAGCGUGUAGGCGGCCACUUAAGUCCUGCGUGAAAUCUUGCGGGCUCAACCGCAAGCGGUCGUGGGAAACUGGGUGGCUAGAGUGCGGGAGAGGAGAGUGGAAUUCCUGGUGUAGCGGUGGAAUGCGCAGAUAUCAGGAAGAACACCCGUGGCGAAGGCGGCUCUCUGGAACGCAACUGACGCUGAGACGCGAAAAGCGUGGGGGAGCAAACAGG